UAGAAAUAGAAUAAACACAGCACUGUUAAAGAAAGGGAAGGGAAGAAAAACAGGCAAUCCUCUAAAGGAUUCAGGUGGCUUUCUGGAGCAGAGGACCAGCUACCAUGUAGAAGGGGCCAGUUUCUACACACUUGUCUGGACCUCACAGACCUAACACUCUGCUUUAGACUAUUUUGUACCAUUGCACUCAGCUGGACUAUUCCUUCAGCUGGGGUUCAGACAUGCCAGUUGUUUGCCUGAUCUGCUGCUUCCUUGAAAGCAUUCAGGGUAGCCUGAAAGAUGUCAGCAAGUGCCCAGCUUCCUGCAGCUCUUCAGCUUCUGCUGACUACAAACCUGCUGGUCCCUGGUCCCUGCUCAGGACUCACACAAGCUUUUGUGUUUUGCCUUCAAUCAAUACUUAAAUACAGGCACCUAUAGGGAGCAGCAGUGAGGAUGGAUCCUCUUGUUUCAACUUGCACAGGGAGAUUCAGAAUAGCACAGAAUAAGGCAAGGCUGCUUCUAAUACAGCAACUGCCAUUGAUACUGUGAAAGCCUAGAGGAACUGCAUGGGAAUGCUGUCACUUCAGUCAUGAUGAUAAAAGUGUUGAAAUAGUUUCUUUCCCUGAGGAACCUCAAAGAGCCAGCAAGGGCAGCCCCUCCAGCAGAAGUGGUUGAAGUUCUACUGAUGACUUAAUGGAACAGCUUAUGUUCUGUAACAUUAUCCCUCUGGUUUGCUUGGCUUGUGAUACACACAGUCUCACACACCUUACUCCUCCCUCUCUCCAGCACCAUCCCUCUGGUCUUCUCCAGUCAGGAAAGUGAUAGAGAGUUUUAUUGCAGCUCACAGCAGUGCAGUGCUCUGGAAUGAGUCUAUUCACCUACACUGUCACAGUGAAUUUUGGACUGCAGGGCAGACCUGUUGGCAGUCUCACUCCAGUCCACUGCACAGAUCUAGUCAGGAGCUGGGAAACACAGCCCUCUUCUCUCCAGCACAUCCUGCAGCCUGCCCCACACACAGGCCACAGUGGGCCCUUACAAGCACUGCAACAGCUGUAGGAAUGCAUAAAGCCAUGGAGAGGAAGAAAUGUCUGAGGAAUAGCUGAAUUAGGACAUUUUAGUUGGGUUCAAGGCCUUUGAUUUGAUUAGAUUAGCCACACCUUUGCAGGAAAAUCAGCUGUUAAUCAUUUACUGCAGCCCCAAGAGGCAAGUUCCAGGCUACCUCCACAUCUCCAGGUACAGCAAGGGGUCCCUCACCAUAGGACAAGAUCUCUUGGAGGAGUGAAGAGGAGGCAACAGAGGAAACACCUACUACAAACCACAACAGCUUCAGGGUGGAAGCCACCAUGUCACUGGAGCAAGAGGCAUCCUCAGUUCCAGAAGACCUAAAGACAUUGCUUGCAACAAGUGACUGGGCUCUUGGAGGGCUGGUGGUGAUUCUCAUCUUCUGUUUUGUUCUUAUUGUUCUCAUUUUAUUUGCUGCUGUUUUUGGGUGCUGCUCAUCUCCAAGGCACAGACGGGGUAACUUGUAGACAGCAAAGUGGGGACACAGAACUUGGUGCAGCUGAGCAAGAACCAGCCAGGGUACAACCUGAAUGUGAUGCUCACAGAAAACUCUCAUCUCACUCCUCAUGUGGUUAUUUCUCUCCAUGCAUCAAGAGCAAUGUGCCAAUGCCAGCAAGUUGUUCUGGCACAGAACAGUUGGCUGUCCACAGCAAACUCAGUGAGACUGUCUGGAUUCAGGAACUGCAACAUUCACCAAAUACCAAAGAAAACUCUUCUCUGAUUUUCAUCUUUCAAGCAAAACCACCAACUAGAGGUGGCAAAUGGUCACCUACCACCUAAAGCAGAUAAAGAUGUGCUCUGCUGCUGCAGCUAUGUGGGUUGGGUUUUUUUUUCACCUUACAGAAGAGCAAUAGGAAACUCUGAAAGCUUUGUCUGAACCCACUCUCUAAAAGCAGUUCAGAACAUUGCUCUCCUGUCAUACUCAGGCCUAAAUACACUAUGCAAAAACUUGCUUGCCAGCACACAGUCUGACUUUAUUUGUUCUUAUUUAUAACCUUGCAAGGUCAGAGUCUGAGGUUUGCUUUCAUUGUUUGGAUAGUGAGUAGAACUGUAUGAAUUCAAUAUGUAAAAAAGAAAUGCAACAUG